rnacentral:rRNA from 1 species
GACAGAGGCCUCAAGCGUUAGGCGGAAUCACUGGGCUUAAAGCGUGCGCAGGCGGUUUUGUAAGCCCGAUGUGAAAUCCCCCGGCUUAACCUGGGAACUGCGUCUGAUACUGGGAGGCUUGAGUAUGGGAGAGGGAUGUAGAAUUCCAGGUGUAGCGGUGAAAUGCGUAGAUAUCUGGAGGAAUACCGGUGGCGAAGGCGGCAUCCUGGACCAUAACUGACGCUGAGGCGCGAAAGCUAGGGGAGCAAACGGG